AAGCCAGAGUCGCUCCCUCGCCCGUGCGCGGGGGCAGAUCCCUUGUCUUGUUCGAAACCCAACCCAGGCGAGGGCGCCCAUUGAACUAUGAAUUAACACCCCACCAAAGGAGGGGGGAGGGGGAGUCCAAGCCUGCAGCCUGUGCCCCGGUGCCUGGGCACUGCAGAGCUCUGCUAGCAGAGCGUGCCGGCUUAUGUAACCCAUUUGCUGGACUGCCCGGGCAUUGGCGCGGCUGCAGCCCAAACCCUGCCAUUUCCUGGGGGCAGAGCCCAGGCCCGUUGCAAGGGAAGUGAGUAACUUUGCAGGGGGUGGGGGGGGGGUGAGCAAGGGGAGGUCUCCGCAGGGUAGGAGAAAGGACCGGGUGUGCAACGCUGGUUCAACUUCAUAGGGCUGCGCUCCCGCGGCACGUCCCGCCCGCUCUCUUGCGUUGCUGCGUCAGAGGCGAGCUCCUGGCGCGCGGCUGCCCCAUUUCCCGGCCGCUUCCCGGGGCGGGCAGGAGCGCGGCGCGCGGCCGGCUGGGCUCCCGGCGCGUGGGCGGGGUGGGGGCUCUGCAGUGGCGCCCGAGGCAGGUGGCGGGGGCGGUCACGUUUUUUAAGGGCACGCUCGGGGGAGCGUCUCUCUCUCUCUCUCUGCCCCCGGGCUACUCGGAAAACCCGGGCGAGUUGCUGCACGUCACGUUGCCUUGGCUCCUGCAGCGGUGGAGGCAAUCUCCUGGGGGGGCUGGAGGAGCGCCAGAGACUGGCUGAGCGGGGCCCCCAGGAGAAAGCCACCAUCCCAUGCACAGGGGCUGGAACUAGGGGGGCUGCUGCACCCCCUGGCUUGAAGGGGUUCCCACCAUAUACAGGGGUUGCAAUUUGGUUCAAUGGCUCUCAACACACACACACACACACACACACACACACACACACUUCCAGCGCCCUUGAUCCCACAUUCACCCCGCAUCACGCUUACCAGCCUCUUCAGUGUCACUUGCGUCUGCCAGGCAGGCUCAGGGCUGGAUUCACCUUUUGUGGGCCCGGCGCCAAACAUAUCUGUGAGCCCCCUGGGGGUAUGGCGCGGGGGGGGGGGGUCGGUCCCCGGAGUGAGAGGCCGGCCGGGGGCAUGGCAUGGCAGGGGCGGCCCUGCUCUGCCCAGCCCAGUGCAAGGGCACUAUUUACAAACCGGCAGUUGCCAGAUGCACAAUGGCCCGCCCGGCCCUGUGCUGUCAGCGUGCCCCUUCCCCUCCGGGGUGGGCCCAUGCUGCCCAACACUGGAAUACACCCCCCCCCGAUUCCCUAUGACCAGAGCCCCCACAG
rnacentral:lncRNA from 1 species